UGCAGUUGCUAAGCAAGUUCAGCUUCCUCCACUGACCUUGUCGGAAGCUGGUUGAGAAGGCUGCAAAUGACUGCACAAUUGUGCAAUCAUCA